ensembl:lncRNA
CGGGUUUUAAUCAGAAUAGAACUUCCUCUGACAGAACGAGGAAAGGCUGGCGCUCAGGUUGGCCCCAUUGGCCGUGCAGGAUCCCACAUCCCCUCUCUGUGCCCCCAGGGUGGCUUUGUCAGCUUACCCAAGGGAUGCUGUCACCCUGGGGGUGGUGACAAAGGCUUUCGUCAGCCUCAGGCUGAGCAAAUUGGGGGCACAGGGGGAAGUGUGAGAGAGAGCAUCCCCAGAGCUGCAUCCCCUGUGCUCAGGGAUGGGCACACGCUGACAUCUCAGCCAGCUGCUCCCGCGUCCCAUCAGCAAAGUCCCCGUGCAAAUGAAAGCUCCUCGCUGUGGCGCACAGGAAAUGGGCCUCAGCCUCAGCUCCAAAGCACCAGAACUCAUUCCAGGCGCGGAGGGAAACAUUUCCUUUCAUCUCAGGCCAGGAGUGGAAGCGGCCCUUUCGUCUCCCCCCGCCCCAUUCCCCCCCCCAGAUGGAGCUUUGAAGGCUGGCGGGGCCCUCCCACAUGUGCUGCUGGGGCUGUGAGCGGUGUCUGCUGCGGGACGGGGGGAGCAGAGGGUGGGGAGCAGCCCAGUGGGGCUCUGCCCUCGGAGGUGCCCAAAUGGGGCCGUGAUCCCACAGCCCACCCUCCCCCAGCCCCAUCUCCAGGCAUGGGGACAUCCAUGGGAUGGAGGGCAGUGGGACCACCGCAGGCAUCACUUGGCUGCUUGGGGUUUCUGUGGGCUCUUCUUCCCCAGCAGGAAGGUCGUUUGUGAUGGGGGUGGAGCGGCUGCCCUUCGCUCUGUAAUGCCUUCAGGGUUUGGGUUUUGGGAGGUUUUUGGAGUUUUGGGGGCUUUCUGCCCAAGGGCUGCGAGGAGGGCAAAGGGGUUUUACAUGGGCUGUAGGGACAGAGUUACAGAGAAGUGUUACAGGGUCAUGGAGUCUCCCAGGCUGGAAGGGACCCAUAGGGACCAUUGAGUCCACCUCCUGCCUGCUGGUGUAGGUGGGGUGGGGAAGGAUCCUCACCCCUCCCCCCCCCAAAUUCUUCUUCUUUCCAACCCAUUUAUUGAUAGCAGAGCAAUGGAGGGCGACGCCCACGUGGCAGUGGGAGGGUGCGCACCCCAUCCUCUCCCAUCCCACCCCAACUCAAGCUAAGGCGCUGCCCCACAUGGGCCACGGAGAGGACCCAGGACCUUCCCUCCAUCCCUGGCGCAGCUCCGGUUUGGCCCAGAGCUCGGAGGGAGGAGAUGCUGAGCACUGAGUCAGCUGUGAGCGCAAAGCCGCUCACAUAGAAAUAACUCCGCGUUCUUUGGGACGUGCAUCAGCAGCAUCACCCGACUGCCCCUCUGCUCUGCGCUUUGUGGCCUCAUCCCACCGGUGGGCUUUGGGAGAACAGCCUGAGGGAAGCCAUGCAACCGUGCUGCUUUUUCCAGAAGCAGAUGAAGCAAAUCCUCCCAUAAAUGCCUUCCUCGUUGCUGACUGCUCUGCUUUCCCACAGACGUUGAAGCUGAUGCAGGAGGACUGAAGCAGCGCGGAGCGUUGGGCAGGCAGUGUGUGCACACAGACAGGAUGAAGCCACGACGCUCCCUACGGAACGAACCCCCUGCUUUGCAUCCCACGGCACCGUCUGAGGCCGCAGCAUCUCCUGCUGGAAGUGAUUCACUGCAGUGCACAGCGGGAUGGAGCUGAGCUCCCAGCUGUGCCUUUGGGGUCUGCGCUCUGUGAGUCACCAACAUCCAGUCCUGGUGCAAGGCUGGGGCCGGCCGCUUACUGGGAGCACUGCGAUGGAGCUCUGUGCCACCACCUGAAAAGAGAAACCCGAGGCAAGGAGUUACAGGAUGGAAGGGUUUAUUGGGGGUUUGCUCCUGGCCAGGAGGUGUUUGCCAAAGUUUGCAGGGCUUGGAGCGUGGAGAUGUGCUGCUGUGGUGGCUGAAAGGAAAGUGAGGG